rnacentral:rRNA from 1 species
UACGGGGAGCAAGCGUUGUUCGGAUUACUGGCGUAAAGGCGCGUAGGCGGCCACCGCAAGUCGACUGUGAAAUCUCUGGCUUAACCCAGAAAGGUCAGCCGAUACUGCGGGCUAGAGUGCAGAAGGGCAACUGGAAUUCUCGGUGUAGCGGUGAAUGCGUAGAUAUCGGAGGAACACCUGUGGCGAAGCGCUCGCUGGACCACAACUGACGCUGAUGCGCGAACUAGGAGCAACAGG